rnacentral:rRNA from 1 species
UCGUCGUAUGUUAUAUGUGUCAUACGAGACUGCCGGUAAAAAGCCGGAGGAGGUGAGGAUGAUGUCAAGUCAGCAUGACCUUUAUAUCCAGGGCUACACACACGCUACAAUGGUCUGUACAAUGGGUAGCCAAGCCGCGAGGCGGAGCCAAUCCUGAAAGCAGGCCUCAGUUCAGAUUGCAGUCUGCAACUCGACUGCAUGAAGCCGGAGUUGCUAGUAACCGCAGGUCAGCAAUACUGCGGUGAAUACGUUCCCGGGUCUU